AAAAGGGUGAGUUGGCAAUGCCAUUGUAAAAUCAAAUAAUUUGAUAGUUCAUUUAUAUCUUAUCCUUAACCAAUGCUUUAAAGUUCGUCCUAUGUACCAUCAGGUUUAGGAUUUAAGAAUGGCGGGUUUAUUAGAAAAAAUAAAAGACCUCUACCCAGACCAGGCAAGAGCAAUUGAAAAAGAAGAUUUCCGCAGUGACGACGACAUCCGGACAUUGACCAGAGAGGAUCUAGAUGAACUGCUUGGCCCUAAGAACCUCAAGCAGAGAAAGGCCGUUUAUGAACUGAUACACCAGCAGAAGCCAAUUGGGGAUCUUUUAAAAGACUUAAAAGCUUUUAUCCCUGCAGAAUCUAUGGAAGCUGCCCUGACAGAGAAUGGGGUCUUGAGUGGCUACCUGCAGAUCAUGAAGGACUUGACGUCCCAAGUAGGAAAGGUCCAAUCAUUUUUGCAGGCACAUGUGAGCCUGCUGGAGGAACACAGUUAUGAUUAUAAGGCGGUGAAAGUGCCACGCACAGGAAGUAAUGCGCAACAAGUUAGCAAUCUACCUCCAACACCAACAGGUAAAAGUUCAUCACCUGGAUUCUGGAAUUUUUUUGGUAAAUAUAGCUCAACUAAUGUUAUGCUCAUUCGCAGUCACUCAAAUAUCCUUGAUUUUCUUUUUUUUCUUUCAGCUAAAGGUGCGAUUUGAGAGUUGUAAAGAGUGGAAGAGAGACAGAUUUUGAAACUAAACACUUUCAAACGCAACAAUGUCUGCCUAUAAUGAAAAUUAUUUCACGAUUACCUACUAAACCAUCGCAACCAACCCAUAACUUUCUUUCCAAUGCUCCUACGCUUCCAAAAUGGAGGCGGUUAUUGUGAGGUUACUUUGCAAUUUACAUAUUUUGUGUUUUCUUUGUUCAUUUGUUUGCUGUAUUUAUUUGCUCCCAAGGUUACGGGCAUGCUAAGGAAGUCCCCAUUUCAAGCUCUCCAGAGAGCGGUCAAAAAAGAUGGCUUUGACCUUAGAUCAGAUACUGACCCAGAUCCUUAUCCCAGCAACGUGGACCCAGAUGAGCCACUAGGAGCCCACAAAGCACAGCCUGUAGCAGAGGUUUCAUCCUCUGUUGCAACACAGCAGAUAAGUAUGACUGAAAGUAAGUACUCAACAGAAUAUUGCGUACACAUAGACAAAUAUAAGCAAUCACAAGGACCAACAUCAAUGUAAAGUUUUGGCGACCUGGAGAUUUUGUUGCACCACAGCAUAAAAUCUAUGAAGAACGGACCAUACAAAAAAACAACAAAUUACACCGUAAUUAAGUUAAUUAUUUUUCUAUAAAUAGUUUUAAUUUCCUGCUUAUUUUUCAGAACUCCAUACUGUAACAUUCCAGUCUAUUGUAAGCGGCAAAACAUUAAACUGCGAAAAUACCAUAUUGGAACAAUUGAGGAACAGGGGAAAAGUGAUUCUUACAGAGACAGAAGACAGCCCCCAGCUCAUUAUUGUGUUCUGUCCAAUCACGUCACGGAUUGACUCAGACUUGGAGAGUGUCAUGAAUAAACAUCCAGAGUCAUUGGUUGACAAACCUGUUAUUUUGGUGAUGAUGCAUCACAGAUACAAUCCCAACGAAGUAGUCAUCCAGAAGCCAGGGUCAGUCCUCAAGAAAUGGAACAUUGCGUUGGUUGUCAACGUUUUCUACCAAGAAACCGUGCAUGGAUUGGUGCCCUGCGUCAUGAACAACCAGGCGCUCGAUGAAAUGCACACCACAUUAAUGAAACACUGUGAAAAAAGCAUCUGUGAAUGUGUCGACGAUAGCGACAUUGCAAUGUCGGACCCCUGCUGUCAUAAUAGCAGUGCUUCCGAAUCGUUGGUUCAAUCAGGAAAUGACAAUAUGGCUUUGCUUGCUCAUGAAUGCAACACUGGUACUAGUAGUAAUGUCAUCUCCCAAAGGACUAGCAGUACAAGUAGUCAUGACCACUGGAGUGGUAGGCGUCCUUGUGUGGAUGCACGUCCCAUUGGAAGCCGUGGCAUAGCUCAUCAUGAUGACACACACGCUUUUCAAGGCCACCCAAAAAGUAUGGGUGAUUAUGUCGCUUCAAGUCACAGCAGGUUGAGGGGUGAUAAUGACACACACGCUUCUGAUUUUCAAUGCAAACAAGCAGGUAAUGUUGGUAAUGCCAGAACACGUGAUAGUAGAAACAGUGGGACGGAUGGUGAUGACCACACUGGUAAGGUAGAUAAAGGAGCUUCCAAGAAAAAUUAUUUUAAGUGGUAGUGAUGGACAUUGUUCAUCUAUGUGCUGCCAGUGCUAGUAAAGCCAUUUUUUAUUUCAUUUCUCAAUCAGGAAUAUUAUCUUGUGUGAAACAAUGGCGUCAUGUGUUCAUGAAGGGAAUAGUGGGUUAAUAUAUUUGAAUUGGAUCAAAGGGUAGGCUAUCUUUUUAAUGAUUAUAUUCGUAUAAUAAAGCACUGUUACAAGAGUGCUUCAUAGAUAUACUUUAUUGGGCAUUGUUUUUUGGAUGAAAAAAGUAGGCUAAUGCAUCACUUCUAAUGCAUCAGCUUCCUUCAAGCUAAAUCAUUAAAAUAUGUUCAAUAUGCUUCUGUAACAAAGCAAUAUAAAUAUGUAAAAUAUGCAAAGUCCACAGAUGUUUUUUCAAUGAUGUAUUUCAAAUAAAGUCAAUGGAUUAAUCCCAUUCAAUACAUCAGGAAUGUUUUUGAUGUCACGAUGUACAAGCCCUACGGACGGGCCUCUCGCUCUCGACCCUCUUUGCCGAACUCCCCCAAAGCAUGGCCCUGGCUGCGUUGUUUACAAACGGUAGCAGUUCCCGGAAGUUAAAGGAGCACAUGCUAGUAGCUAGUGCAUGUGAGUAUAUGUCCUUGUUUGAAUAAAGAAAUAAUACUUUAGCCAUCUCUUAACUAAUAUCGAAGUAUAUAACCAUCUCUAACCAAUCACCUACGCAUCGCGUCAUGAGCCAAUUACCAUAGCGUUUUUCUCGUCAGAGUAGGCAGAUCGUACCAGAAAUGCAUUGCGACUGUAAUGACGAGAUAUUGAGGUCUUCUCUCAGCCUACUUCCUUAUGUGCAGGCGGGAGCUAUAUAUUCGGCAGUUUGGAUUGGGCGGAUUCUGUCAAUCCCUGCAUUGACCAAUUAAAAUGCGUCUUUCACUUUCUAUUUUGCAUUGGACAAAAGGGUUUAGGGUUUAAGAAUGGCGGGUUUAUUAAAAGAAAUAAAAGAUCUCUACCCAGACGUGGCAAGAGAACUCGAAAAAGCAGAGUUCCGCAGCGACGACGAAAUCCGGACAUUGACCAGAGAGGAUCUCCAUGAACUGCUUCGUGGCCCUAAGAAGCUCAAGCAGAGAAAGGCCGUUUAUGAACUGAUACACCAGCAGAAGCCAAUUGGGGAUCUUUUAAAAGACUUAAAAGAUGUUAUCCCUGCAGAAUCUUUGAAAGCUGCCCUGACAGAGAAUGGGGUCUUGAGUGGCUACCUGCAGAUCAUGAAGGACUUGACGUCCCAAGUAGGAAAGGUCCAAUCCUUUUUGCAGGAACAUGUGAGCCUGCUGGAGGAACACAGCUAUAAGGCGGCGAAAGUGCCACGCACAGGAAGUAAGGCGCAAAAAGGUAGCAAUUUACCUCCAACACCAACAGGAACACACCCAGGAAGCAAUGUGCAAAAAGGUUUCGGGCAGGCUAAGGUAGUCCCCAGUUCAAGCUCUCCAGAGAGCGGUCAAAGAGAUGGCUCUGACCUUAGAUCAGAUACUGACCCAGAUCCUCAUCCCAGCAACGUUGACCCAGAUGAGCCACUAGGAGCCCACAAAGCACAGCCUGUAGCAGAGGUUUCAUCCUCUGUUUCCACAGAGCAAAUGAGAAAGACUGAAAAACUCCCUACUCUAAAAUUCUUGUCUAUUGUAUCUGGCGAUACGUUUAACCAUGAAAAUAUCAUAUUGGACCGGUUGAGGAGCCGGGGAAAAAUGAUUCUGGUGAACACAGAGGACAGCCCCAAGCUCAUUAUUGUGUUCUGCUCAAUCCAGUCAGAGUUUGACUCAGACUGCCUCGCUAUCAGAUUGAAUUGCCCAGAGUCAUUGUUUGACACACCUGUCAUUUUGGUUAUGAUGCAUCACACAAUGAAACACAACAAAGGACUCAUCCAGAAGCCAGGGCCAUCCCUCAAGAAAUGGAACAUUGUGUUGGUUGUCAACAUUUUCUACCACGUAACCUUGUGUGGGUUGCUACUCGGCGACAUGAACGACCAGGCGGUCAAUCAAAUGCACACGUUAUUACUGAAAUACUGUGGAAAAAGCAUCUGCGACAAGUGUCAACGAUAGAGACAUUGCAAUGUCGGACCCCUGCGGUCAUAAUAGCAGCGCUUCCGAAUCGUUGGUUAGAUCAGGAAAUGACAAUAUGGCUUUCCUUGCUCAUGAAUGCAACACUGGUACUAGUAGUAAUGUCUUCUCCCAAAGGACUAGUAGUAGCAGUAGUUAUGGUAGUCAUGACAACUGGGAUGCUAGGGUUCCUAGUGUGGAUACACGUCCCAGUGGAAGCCAAGGCAACCCAAAAGGUAUGGUUGAUAAUGUCGCUACAAGUCACAGCAGUUUGAGGGGUAAUAAUAAUAAUAAUAAUAAUAAAUGAAAUUUAUAUAGCGCUUAAUAUGGUACUCUAAGACGCUUAAUGAUACACACUUCUGGUUUUCAUUGCAACCAAGUAGGUUAUGGUGGUAAUGCCAGAACACGUAUUAGUAGAAGCAGCGGGAUGGAUGGUAAUGACCACAGUGCUGGUAAGGUAGAUCAAGGAAGCAGAGCUGGUUUCAAGAACCCUCUCUAAGAGGAAAGGAAGGAAAUUGUUCAUCCAUGUGCUGCCAGUGCUAUAGUAUUGUUUUUAUUUUUUUAUUCCUCAAUCAGGAAUAUUAUGUUUUGUGUGAAACAAUGGCAUCAUGGGUUAAUGAAGGGAAUGGUGGGUUAAUAUAUUUGUAUUAGAUCAAAGGGUAGGCUUAUCUUUUUAAUGAUUAUAUUUGUACAAUAAAAGUACUGAUACAAGAAUGCUUCAAGCUAAAUCGUUCAAAAAAAUAUCGAAGCCUUCAAUUUACCAAUGCCAAUAACCAAUGCAAUGUAUGAUAAAGCCUUGAUUUACCAAAGCGUUCAAUAUGCUUCUGUGACUAUGCAAUAUAAAUAUUUAAAGUAAACACUCCGAAGUCAGAGUCCACAGACGUUUUUCCAAUGAAGUAUUUCAAAUAAAGGCAAUGGAUUAAUCCCAUUCAAUGCAUCAGGAAUGUUUUUGAGACCUGUCGCAUCAAAUUGUCCAAACUGUCACCAGUCUACUUAACUCUACACAAUGUAAGGUUACUUUUCAUCACGAGACUCUGUCUGGCAAUGAAUAAAGGACUUCGAUGUAAGGUAGUAAAAAUUAGAGGCACCAGAAAGUGACAGAAG
ensembl:lncRNA